CACUUUUGGAAGCGGUGACAUAGCGCUUUAUUACUGUAAAUUUUAUCGAAGGCAGUUGGUUUAAAAGUUUAAACGUAGGUCAAAAUACAUAACCACGAGAUAUUUUUCUUAGCGGGAAAAGUUAUUGAAGAAACUAUGGUGAAUAAAAUAUUCUUGGCGAUAAUCUUCACAUUUUGGGCAUUAUUUUAUGCGAACGCUUUGCAACCGAAAGCACCAAAUUUUCAAUAUUUCGAAAGGCCAAAGUAUCGUUAUCCAUAUUAUGAUGAAAACGGGAACGGUAAACUUCUUUACGGAUAUGGCGACGACAAACUGUAUCAGUACAAAGUAUUUACGCCACUGGAAGGAAUCCAUUAGUACCUAAAACUCAUUAAUCCAAUUAAAUUUGGAUUUUUAGAUUUUCAUGUAUAUAAUAUAUAAACGAUAAUGUACGUAGUUACGUAGUUAGUUCUGACUCAUUUAAGCGGCCUAAUUAUAUUAUAUCUAGAAUCGCGUGCCCAGUGCAAAUUUAUUUAAUAUUUGUUGUUAAAAUAUUUUUUACAAUAUAAAGUGUUUCAAUAAUUUUUACGUGUCUUAAAAUUAACAAUUUAGACGUGGUUUUUAUUCAAGCGACACUUAUUGCAGGAAAAAAUGUUAAUGUACUUAGGAAUUAAAAUUUGGAGUGAUUUCGUUAUUUUGUUGGUAUUUUUUUAAAAAAUAGUUCGCGAUUUGACAUCAGUGCUUUUAGCGUUUCAUCCGAUCAACAUUAAACGAAAAGCUUACCGAUUAAAUAUUAAAUAACAGAACUCUAGCAAUAAUAUGAUUGCAACUUCCUGACAAACGAGUUUAAUUGCGAGCAAAGCGAUUUACUGAUACUCAGCCUUCUGCAAUAUUUAAUAUUUCUUUCAUAGAGAGCGCUUUUAAUUUUUGCUAGUUUGAAGGUACAAUGCGAAAGUGUCCUGAGAUAUUGUUUUGGGGCUAUUUUCUACA